rnacentral:rRNA from 1 species
AAUCAACGCUGGCGGCGUGCCUAACACAUGCAAGUCGCACGAGAAAGGGGAGCAAUCCCUGAGUAAAGUGGCGCACGGGUGAGUAACACGUGAAUCAUCUACCUCCGAGUGGGGAAGUAACUGAGAGAAAUACUUAGCUAAUACCGCAUAACACUUACGAGUCAAAGCAGCAAUGCGCUUGGAGAGGAGUUCGCGGCCGAUUAGUUAGUUGGCGGGGUAAGU